rfam:Aedes aegypti strain Liverpool supercont1.10 genomic scaffold, whole genome shotgun sequence.
GGCUCGGUAGCUUAGUUGGUAAAGCGCUCGUCUAGCAUACAAGAGUCCUGGGUUCAAAUCCCAGUCGAGCAC